GACGACCUUUGGCGGCGCGCCUAACACAUGCAAGUCGAACGGAGCUUAGAAAGCUUGCUUUUUAAGCUUAGUGGCGAACGGGUGAGUAACGCGUGAGUAACCUGCCCUAGAGUGGGGGACAACAGUUGGAAACGACUGCUAAUACCGCAUAAGCCCACGGUGCCGCAUGACACUGAGGGAAAAGGAUUUAUUCGCUUUAGGAUGGACUCGCGUCCAAUUAGCUAGUUGGUGAGGUAACGGCCCACCAAGGCGACGAUUGGUAGCCGGACUGAGAGGUUGAACGGCCACAUUGGGACUGAGACACGGCCCAGACUCCUACGGGAGGCAGCAGUGGGGGAUAUUGCACAAUGGGGGAAACCCUGAUGCAGCGACGCCGCGUGGAGGAAGAAGGUUUUCGGAUUGUAAACUCCUGUCGUUAGGGACGAUAAUGACGGUACCUAACAAGAAAGCACCGGCUAACUACGUGCCAGCAGCCGCGGUAAAACGUAGGGUGCAAGCGUUGUCCGGAAUUACUGGGUGUAAAGGGAGCGCAGGCGGGAAGACAAGUUGGAAGUGAAAACCAUGGGCUCAACCCAUGAAUUGCUUUCAAAACUGUUUUUCUUGAGUAGUGCAGAGGUAGAUGGAAUUCCCGGUGUAGCGGUGGAAUGCGUAGAUAUCGGGAGGAACACCAGUGGCGAAGGCGGUCUACUGGGCACCAACUGACGCUGAGGCUCGAAAGCAUGGGUAGCAAACAGGAUUAGAUACCCUGGUAGUCCAUGCCGUAAACGAUGAU
rnacentral:rRNA from 1 species